UACGGGAGGGGCAAGCGUUAUCUGGAAUAACUGGGCGUAAAGAGUCCGUAGACUGUAAAGUAAGUUACUUGUUAAAUUUUAAAGCCUAACUUUAAACUAGCUUGUAAUACUGCUUUACUUGAGUUUUAUACAGAAAAGUAGAAUUUUAUACGAUAGGGUAAAAUCUUAAAAUAUAUAAAGGAAUUUCAGUGGCGAAGGCGACUUUUUGGUAAAAACUGACGUUGAGGGACGAAAGUAUGGGUAGCAAUCAGG
rnacentral:rRNA from 1 species